UACGUAGGGGGCAAGCGUUGUCCGGAUUUAUUGGGCGUAAAGAGCGUGUAGGCGGCCAAGCAGGUCCGCUGUGAAAACUCGAGGCUCAACCUCGAGACGUCGGUGGAAACCGUUUGGCUAGAGUCCGGAAGAGGAGAGUGGAAUUCCGCGUGUAGCAGUGAAAUGCGUAGAUAUGCGGAGGAACACCGAUGGCGAAGGCAAUCCCCUGGGCCUGUACUGACGCUCAUGCACGAAAGCGUGGGGAGCAAACAGG
rnacentral:rRNA from 1 species